GAAAAAGUCAUCCGCAUACGGUCGGCUUUCUAUGGACGGAAGGAUAGCGACGUCUGUCCCAGUGGCGGCGGAUCACGCGAUGACUGCAGGGUGGAAGGGGCUCUCUCUCACUUCAGAGGAUUGUGUGACAACUAUCAGAUUUGCUCCAUUUACCCUUGGGAUACGGACUCCUGCCCUGGUAUCUCCAAAUACCUCCACGUCGUCUACAGCUGUGAGAAGAAAGUGUGUCUUGACGGUCUGGGCAUCGCUGACGGGAGAAUCCCAGACUCUUCCUUUACAGCCUCUUCCUCUGAGAUCAAUGCCGAACCUCACAAAGCGCGUCUGGGGGGCAGCGGUUGCUGGAAACCGUCCAAAAUCCUCGGCAGCUGGAUCCAGGUGAACCUCGGUCAGAACUUCAAGGUGACAGGCAUUGAGACCCAGAAGUGUACAUACCAA